rnacentral:rRNA from 2 species
GACCCGUCUUGAAACACGGACCAAGGAGUUUAAGGUGUGCGCGAGUCAUUGAGCGGCAAACUCAAAGGCGUAAUGAAAGUGGGACACUUGGUGUCUGUGAUGCGAUCCGUGCGUGAUUCGUUGCGUGCGGAGCAGCAUCGACCCAUGACCAGAACUUGUUCUGUUGUGGAGUCUGAGCGCACGCUUUGAGACCCGAAAGAUGGUGAACUAUGCCUGAACAGGACGAAGUCAGAGGAAACUCUGAUGGAAGUCCGAAGCGGUUCUGACGUGCAAAUCGAUCGUCUGAUUUGGGUAUAGGGGCGCAAGACUAAUCGAACCAUC